CCUACGGGUGGCAGCAGUGAGGAAUAUUGGUCAAUGGGCGCGAGCCUGAACCAGCCAAGUCGCGUGAGGGAGGACGGUCCUACGGAUUGUAAACCUCUUUUGCCGGGGAGCAACGGGCGCCACGUGUGGCGUCACUGAGAGUACCCGGAGAAAAAGCAUUGGCUAACUCCGUGCCAGCAGCCGCGGUAAUACGGAGGAUGUGAGCGUUAUCCGGAUUUAUUGGGUUUAAAGGGUGCGUAGGCGGAUCGUUAAGUCAGUGGUCAAAUUGAGGGGCUCAACCCCUUCCCGCCGUUGAAACUGGCGUACUUGAGUGGGAGAGAAGUAUGCGGAAUGCGUGGUGUAGCGGUGAAAUGCAUAGAUAUCACGCAGAACCCCGAUUGCGAAGGCAGCAUGCCGGCUUCCGACUGACGCUGAAGCACGAAAGCGUGGGGAUCGAACAGGAUUAGAUACCCGGGUAGUC
rnacentral:rRNA from 1 species